UCCAUCUCAUCGGUUUAUGAUAUCCGCCGCUGCCAGGUGCUCGGGAAAGAGGUGAGAAGCCUCUGCUGCCCCCGCAACGGUAAGCGAGAGAAGGGUUCCAGCAUCGCCACUGCGCGCUUCACUGCGCGGGAAGGCGGGACCCCAUGCCUCGCGAGCCCGGAGACCGGUCUGGAAGCCUCUUCAACC
rnacentral:ncRNA from 2 species